GAAGCUGGAAUCGCUAGUAAUCGUAGAUCAGCAUGCUACGGUGAAUACGUUCCCGGGUCUUGUACACACCGCCCGUCACACCACGAGAGUUUGUAACACCCGAAGCCGGUGGAGUAACCAUUUUGGAGCUAGCCGUCGAAGGUGGGACAAAUGAUUGGGGUGAAGUCGUAACAAGGUAGCCGUAUCGGAAGGUGCGGCUGGAUCACCUCCUUUCUAAGGA
rnacentral:rRNA from 1 species